CAAUACUGCACACUGAGGUACAGUGGGAAGACAGUCCCUCUUUUCUGUUCCCACCACCCAAGGCACGGUCCCCCACAGCAGAGGCAUCUCCGCUUCCUGUUUCCGCCAUUUCAAGGGAUGGCGCUCCCAUCUCUUUAAGCUGCCGCUCUUCCAACUUGGCAGGGCUGAUUAGGAAGACCCAGUUCCUGACCACCGAUGCUUUGCUACGCUAGGCUGGAAAAUGCCUCCCUCUGCCCUUGAGAAGGGGGUCUGAAUGUUUUGCGGGACUGACACCGCAGCAACAUGCCGGUGUGUUUCACGCUGCUGCCUCCUGUUUCCCUUGAAGCUUUCACCAGACCCUGGAUUUCUUUUUCACUUCCUGUUCUGAGCCAUCGCCGGGCACUCAUUACCCACCAGCUGUGUCCCAGCUGCCGCAUUCUACACUAGAGGUGGCGCCCUGCACCCGGCGGAUACUACUUGUUGUCCACUUUUUCUCCUUUUCAUUUCCUUUUGGUGAAGAAAUGAAGAGAAUCAGACUACCCACCUUGGAUUCUGAUAUGAAAGAUUUAGGAUAAAAGAGCUACUCCAUCAGCCUGGAAAGAUGACUCACUGGCAAACUCUUAGAUAAAGCUAAACUUCACACCAAACUGCAAGAGAGUCUAAGAAUGAAGAGAAAACUGCUUUGGCAAGCAACUACCUAGUCUCUGACACAGUCCACCUUUUUGGUCAGCCAAUAUCCAGCUCCGCCUUGUCUUCUUACACAAAGCCCAGGCAAAGCCCAGGAUUGCUAACUGUUGUACAAACCUGUUGGUCAGGCCUAGAUGGAAGCUUUCAACCCCAUUUCAAGUCAGCUGGCUUAUCCAACCCUGAAAGGUCUGUGAUCUCUCAGUUCUUUUUAUAAACAGGCCUCUGCUUGCAAAUGGCCAAUUCUUGCCUGAGCUCAUCUCUUUCUUGUAAUACUUUAUGAAAGGCAGCCAGUAGUAACUAAUGCAUAAAUUUUUCCAACCAACUGGCCCAAAGGUCAGUAGACCUUUUUACCAAAUGUUUCGCAAUGUAUAGCAUGAAUCUCCAUCUUUCUCCUCUCUGUUAUCAGGUUCCUCAGUGCCCAACCAUUAUGUCAAUGCCUUUUACCUUAAUUUUUUUCUUAUGGCAACAUUUUCUUCUGGAAUUAUUUCUGUACUGUAGCAAAUGCCCUAAACUGUGUAAAACAGUUUGAAGACACUAUUUUUUUUUCUAUUUUUAUCAUUUGUUCCUCGGUCUACUCAAUACGCUCCCUGCUUAAAACUCCCCUAGUGAUUUUCUGUUGGGUUUAAAAUAGAGUCUAAACUCUUUACCAUGGAUUACAAGCUUCUCUGUUAACUGGUUGUAACCUGCAUUUCCAGCCUCCUUUGGCGCCACUCUUGUCCCACCAACUAUAUCACAUUUCCUUUGGAACAUUUUCUGCUUCUUGAACUUGCCCAGGUCCUUGCUGUUAGCUGGUCCCUUUGCCUAUGAUGAUCUUCCUUCUUAGCAUCACUUGAACUGCAAAAAAUAAAAAAUGAAACAAAAAACAA
rnacentral:lncRNA from 10 species